rnacentral:rRNA from 1 species
UACAGAGGGUGCGAGCGUUAAUCGGAAUUACUGGGCGUAAAGCGCGCGUAGGCGGCUUUGUAAGUCGGAUGUGAAAUCCCCGGGCUUAACCUGGGAACUGCAUUCGAGACUGCAUGGCUAGAGUAUGGGAGAGGGAAGUGGAAUUUCAGGUGUAGCGGUGAAAUGCGUAGAUAUCUGAAGGAACGCCGGUGGCGAAAGCGACGUGCUGGAUCUCUUCUGACGCUGAGGCGCGAAAGCCAGGGGAGCGAACGGG